rnacentral:rRNA from 1 species
UUGAACGCUGGCGGCAGGCCUAACACAUGCACGUCGAGCGGAUGAAGGGAGCUUGCUCCUGGAUUCAGCGGCGGACGGGUGAGUAAUGCCUAGGAAUCUGCCUGGUAGUGGGGGAUAACGUCCGGAAACGGGCGCUAAUACCGCAUACGUCCUGAGGGAGAAGGUGGGGGAUCUUCGGACCUCACGCUAUCAGAUGAGCCUAGGUCGGAUUAGCUAGUUGGUGGGGUAAAGGCCUACCAAGGCGACGAUCCGUAACUGGUCUGAGAGGAUGAUCAGUCACACUGGAACUGAGACACGGUCCAGACUCCUACGGGAGGCAGCAGUGGGGAAUAUUGGACAAUGGGCGAAAGCCUGAUCCAGCCAUGCCGCGUGUGUGAAGAAGGUCUUCGGAUUGUAAAGCACUUUAAGUUGGGAGGAAGGGCAGUAAGUUAAUACCUUGCUGUUUUGACGUUACCAACAGAAUAAGCACCGGCUAACUUCGUG